rnacentral:rRNA from 1 species
CCUACGGGAGGCAGCAGUGAGGAAUAUUGGUCAAUGGACGGAAGUCUGAACCAGCCAUGCCGCGUGCAGGAUGACGGCUCUAUGAGUUGUAAACUGCGUUUGUACGGGAAUAAUAGUGCUUACGUGAAUGGAUUUGAAUGUAUCGUACGAAUAAGGAUCGGCGAAGUCCGUGCCAGCAGCCGCGGUAAUACGGAGGGUGCGAGCGUUUUCCGGAUUUAUUGGGUUUAAAGGGUGUGCAGGCGGUCGGAUAAGUUAGAUGUGAAAUGCAGAGGCUCAACUUCGGAAUUGCAUCUGAUACUGUUCGGCUAGAGAGUAGAUGCGGUAGGCGGAAUGUAUGGUGUAGCGGUGAAAUGCUUAGAGAUCAUACAGAACACCGAUUGCGAAGGCAGCUUACCAAGCUACUUCUGACGUUGAGGCACGAAAGCGUGGGGAGCAAACAGGAUUAGAUACCCCAGUAGUC